CAGAAGGAAACUGUAACUGCAAAGAAGAAACUGUAGCAGAAAACAGCUUGGCCAGGAAGGGGCAGGAGAUCCGGGCAAGAGCUAGACCACAGAAUCCUGCUGGACAGAAAGAGCCAUGAACAACAGCUGGCCAGAAAACCGAAGGAAUAAAAUAAGUGUCCAGUGAAAAUGAAAAAAAAAAAAGUUAUUGGGUCCGAUGCUACACAAAGAAUGAGAACCAGAUCCACGCACGCAAGCUCCCCACACACACAUCUGGCACCCUCUUACGGAUGCUG
rnacentral:lncRNA from 1 species